rnacentral:snRNA from 8 species
CCAGGGCGAGGCUCAGCCAUUGCACUCCGGCUGUGCUGACCCCUGCGAAUUUCCCAAAUGUGGAAAUCUCGAUUGCAUAAUUUAUGGUAGUGGGGGACUGCGUUCGCGCUCUCCCCUG